rnacentral:pre_miRNA from 1 species
UCAUCAUGGUCAUGAUGAUGAUGAUGAUGAUGAUGAUGAUCAUCAUCAUCAUCAUCAUCAUCAUCAUCAUCUCCA